GCAAGUCGAGCGCGAAAACACUUCGGUGUGAGUAGAGCGGCGGACGGGUGAGUAACGCGUAGGAAUCUACCCAGUAGUGGGGGACAACAUGGGGAAACCCAUGCUAAUACCGCAUACGCCCUAUGGGGGAAAGCGGGGGACCUUCGGGCCUCGCGCUAUCAGAUGAGCCUGCGUAGGAUUAGCUUGUUGGUGAGGUAAAGGCUCACCAAGGCGACGAUCCUUAGCUGGUCUGAGAGGAUGAUC
rnacentral:rRNA from 1 species